AUACUAGGGGGCUAGCGUUAUCCGGAUUUACUGGGCGUAAAGGGUGCGUAGGUGGUUUCUUUAAGUCAGGAGUGAAAGGCUACGGCUCAACCGUAGUAAGCUCUUGAAACUGGGAAACUUGAGUGCAGGGAGAGGAAAGUGGAAUUCCUAGUGUAGCGGUGAAAUGCGUAGAUAUUAGGAGGAACACCAGUAGCGAAGGCGGCUUUCUGGACUGUAACUGACACUGAGGCACGAAAGCGUGGGGAGC
rnacentral:rRNA from 1 species